UGCAGUGAGUUGCUUGCAAGUCACUGUGACGGUCUCAGAUCAGAGGGACAGUUAUACUUAAUCCCAUCAGAGUAAAUCUUGACAGCAGAAAUAGCUCCGGAGUCGGUCACGUUCAGUGCAAAUGUACCCUUACAUCUCACCUGUAUGCCAUACCAGUGUCUCCACACUCCUUGGUUAAGAGGACAACCAACCCAUAUGGCACACAACGAACUAUGCUUGAUAAACAUUGUUGUCCUUGAUAACAAUGUAUCAAUUGGUUGCGAACAGGUUUAAGAAC
rnacentral:lncRNA from 1 species